rnacentral:ncRNA from 2 species
CGUAACCACAAGGGGAGCUUUAAGCUGAGAGUGAACGAUUGUUCUGACCCUUAGAACCUGUUAGUUAGCACUAGUGUAGGGAUGUGGUAUUCAUAAGAU